CCAUCAGCCCGGCUGUGCCCUCCCACCCUGCCUCCCACCCAGUUGAUUCUCUCUUUGUGAUAAAGCUCAAUAUCCAGUUCAGGAAAUGGGAAACACUGAUAUAUGACUCAUCCCAUGGAACAGAAUAUAGUCUACGUGGAAUGUCACACUGUGCUUCUAGUGGCAAAGUUUGCAUAUAUGUAUGUAUCAGUGUAUCUUUAAAUUUGCCUUUGUGUUGCAAGCACUUGUUAUAUCCUUCCUAUUAUUCCUAUUAUUUAAAUCAAUUUUUAUUUUGCAAGACUACUGGUAAAGAUUUUGGAAUGAAAUGUUUCUGGGGAACCGAGUCACCCUAAUUUAAAAAAUAAAAAUAUCUCAGUAAUUUGGACAAUAGGUUUAAUGUAUGAGGUUAAAUAUAUACCUGCUUAUUAUAAAUAUGCAGAAUCAUUUCUUGUUUAGAAAAUAUUUCAAAUAUUUUAUGGAAUAAUUACAGAUUAUUUGUGUUCAGUUGGCAAUGUUCUAGCCGAACAACUUAUAAUUAAAAAUGUAAAUAAAGAAGUGUCAUUAGUCUAAAAACUUGCAGUUCAUUUUUGCUACAACUUCACUUCAAUUUUGC
rnacentral:lncRNA from 1 species